ensembl:lncRNA
GGAGAAGUCUCAGGCAGCAGCCUCAGGCACACCACGCCCUAUUUCUGUUGCUCUAACAGAACGCUUGAGGCCUCAUUGCUGGGCUACAAGUCUAUUGGUCAGUGCCAACCACAUUCUGAGUAGGUCUUCCCCCUCAGUUUGCUAGCCUCUAUGUCAGUCAUCCACAGACACGCCCACAGCUGGGCUUUACUCAUCUGCCAGGCAGUUCUUACUCAGGAAGCCACUUUGACACAGCAUGGUCAAUGGUUAUAUCCUCUCAUGGAGAUUGCAGUCAACCUACACCCAACUCCAGACACAAUCUCAACCAUCUACCCAGUAUUUCCACCUGUGUUCCCUCCGCACACAUCAAACUCAUCAUCAUGAGUUGGGGACAUGACACUUCUUCUCAUGACCCCCUUCCGGUGCUGGAGCAGGACACACAAUGCACAGUCGAAGGCCGCUGAGCACAGUGACAUUUCCCAAAGUGUGCUCCUCAGGCUAGCAGCACCCAUGCCUCCUGCAAAGUUAUAAGCAAUGCAGAUCCUCAGGCCCCACCUAGGCGAAAGGAACCGGAGCUCCAGGCUGCUGCAGGGACCUGUGCUUGCAUCAUCCUGACACAGUGACCUCUCAGAGCCCCGGCUGGGAAAUGGGCCGCCAGGCCUCAGACCAGACAUAGCUGGGCCUGCUGGGCCCCACACAGUAGCCUCCUCAGGAAAGAAGACUCCAGAGCUGCUGCAGGAAGUAGCAAGAACUAUUGGAUAAAGCUGGCUGGAGGACUGCUAGGUGCUGACCCGGGGUGGCUCACUCAGAAGCCCAUGAGGGAACAGUAAAAUGCCCGGACUGGUAUAGCCCCGAGGCUACUGCCCAGGGAAGGAUGGGUCUGGUGUCCAGGGACUGUCAGGCUGAUCCACGUCAGAUCUCAUGCGAAUAAGGGGCAGAAACCCAUGAGAUAACAGAAAACAGAGAUCCUCUGAGAGCCAAAGGUUUUACAGUGAAGGAGAGAAAAAACAGAGAAUUGGUUCUGGAGCUCUGUUGGCAGCUUCCCAGCUGUGGGCAUGACCUGUGUUUUAUUCUCUCUCUCUCUCAAGGUGAGUUUGCAUGACCCUUUGUCCUUAGACACAGAAGGCAGAUGGGCUGACCCACCAUCUGGUACUGGAGAGGAAUGGUCAGGAGGACCUUUUGGGUUACAAACACCUGACUGUCAUUUGUAGGAGCUGCAACAUCAUGGCAAUGAUCUGACCGCGGGCCCAGGACUCAGGCUGCCUGCAUUCAGGGGCAGCUUUGUGUUUCCAGCUCAUCAGCCCUGCAUUCAUCACUUCACUAACUUCUCUCCAUGCUUUGCCUCCUGCCUGGAACAGUGCUCGGUAAACAUUGGCUACAUGGACUCCUGGUUCUGUCUCCAGUCCUCAGUGCUCCUGUAUCAGCCACAGUACUGGUUCCGCUGGCCUGUUCUCAGUUGCCCAUACUCGGUGAGGUAGAAUGUAGGAAGCCUUAAUUAUGAAUUCGGAGACAAGCCCUGCCACCCUUGGAGGAGGACAUGGAAGGCAGCUAUGCUCACCACUAUACCACCAACGCGAGGAGGACAUGGGAUACGCAAUCUAUUUGCUUUACAUAAGGUGGAGAAGGAAAGAUGCCCACUUAACAUUUUUCUCCAAGGGCUGUGGUUCCCGUGUUGUCCCUUCCUUGGCUGUUCGGAGUUGAAUGCCUCCUCUCCACCACCUUUGCCCCGGGCCGCCAUUGUUCCUCUAAGCUUCUCUCCUUGCUUUGGUUUUAUGUAGAUUUUGUAUUGUAGUUGAUCUUUCAUGGGCAGAGAGCAAUGAAUUAAAGUCUCAUAUUUCUGAUGUGUUUCUGUUCGUUCUCCUAAUAGCUCCCAUGGUUGCUGCUUUAUGAAUUUUGAUGCUGUGUUAUUUGG